rnacentral:rRNA from 1 species
GCGGUACGGGAUGGCUAUGCGUCCCAUUAGUUAGUAGGUGAGGUAACGGCUCACCUAGGCAAUGAUGGGUAGGGGCCCUGAGAGGGGGAUCCCCCACACUGGUACUGAGACACGGACCAG